GAGCCGUCUGUUACGAUGGUAUCAUGGAUGCCUAAGAUUUACAGCUCUAUAGGCUAUGACUAUGCUGUGAAGAGGCAUACUGUGAAAAGCUACCUUCAGUUAAGCUGAGCUGAUCCUGAUAUGAGCUCCUCUAUGCUAAUACGAGGUAUCUUAAGUAUUUAUAUUGAUAUAAGCUGAGGCCAAAAGUAAUAAAUAUCCCUAC
rnacentral:lncRNA from 1 species